GAUCAUGGCUCAGGAUGAACGCUGGCGGCGUGCCUAAUACAUGCAAGUCGAACGAGGUGCUUGAGUAGCAAUACAAGAGUAUCUUAGUGGCGAACGGGUGAGUAACGCGUGGGUGACCUGCCCCGAAGUGUGGGAUAACAGUCCGAAAGGAUUGCUAAUACCUCAUGUGGUUAUCGGAUUUAGAAACUGAUAACUAAAGCAGCAAUGCGCUUUGGGAGGGACCUGCGUCCCAUCAGCUAGUUGGUGAGGUAAUGGCUCACCAAGGCUACGACGGGUAGGGGACCUGAGAGGGUGGCCCCCACAAUGGAACUGAAACACGGUCCAUACACCUACGGGUGGCAGCAGUAGGGAAUAUUGCACAAUGGGCGAAAGCCUGAUGCAGCAACGCCGCGUGUGCGAUGAAGGCCUUCGGGUCGUAAAGCACUUUUCUGAGAGAUGAGAAAGGACAGUAUCUCAGGAAUAAGUCUCGGCUAACUACGUG
rnacentral:rRNA from 1 species